rnacentral:misc_RNA from 1 species
ACAUUCUUUGGAGAAGUGUCCCUUGUUACCAAAGAUGAAAUAUCGGUAUGAUUUGAACUUCUUUCCUCGAAAAGAUUUUCUUUUGAAGAAUCUGAAUGAUACUUUCUUCUUUUCUUUCUACUUGCCACUCCUAAACUUAUAAUGUUAUUGGUAAGACUUCUGCUUUGUUUUGCAGGUGCUGUUUUUGUCUCUGCCUUUGAUGGAUAGAUGAGACUUUUUAUAUGUUUUCCUCAAGGAGUUGUUGUUCUUCAACAUGUCACUAAAGAAAUGCUAUUGAUCAUACAUUUUCUCCAAAGCGGCUAGAAUCAUUUGGUGAAUUAGGGUUAUUUGAGUCAUGUCUUUUUGAGUUGUGAAGAUGGAUCUUUGUAUUUCUAGCUGUAAUUGCUAUGGUAGGGAAGCGCAUAACUAUAUCUUAGACUUGUAUCAUUGUAUCCAUUUAGCAAAUAAUAUAUUUGUGACAUUGAAACUCA